rnacentral:rRNA from 1 species
CGCGUAGGCGGUGCGGUAAGUCACCUGUGAAACCUCCGGGCUUAACUCGGAGCCUGCAGGCGAAACUGCCGUGCUGGAGGGUGGGAGAGGUGCGUGGAAUUCCCGGUGUAGCGGUGAAAUGCGUAGAGAUCGGGAGGAACACCUGUGGCGAAAGCGGCGCACUGGACCACUACUGACGCUGAGGCGCGAAAGCUAGGGGAGCAAACAGGAUUAGACACCCUGGUAGUCCUAGCCCUAAACCAUGAUUGCUUGGUGUGAUCGGUACCCAAUCCGAUCGUGCCGCAGCUAACGCGAUAAGCAAUCCGCCUGGGGAGUACGGUCGCAAGGCUGAA